UACGUAGGGCGCAAGCGUUGUCCGGAUUUAUUGGGCGUAAAGAGCUCGUAGGCGGUUUGUCACGUCGGUUGUGAAAACCCGCAGCUUAACUGUGGGCGUGCAGUCGAUACGGGCAGACUAGAGGCAUGCAGGGGAGAAUGGAAUUCCUGGUGUAGCGGUGAAAUGCGCAGAUAUCAGGAGGAACACCGGUGGCGAAGGCGGUUCUCUGGGCAUGUCCUGACGCUGAGGAGCGAAAGCGUGGGGAGCGAACAGG
rnacentral:rRNA from 1 species